UACGUAGGAUGCAAGCGUUGUCCGGAAUUAUUGGGCGUAAAGAGAACGUAGGCGGCCUGUUAAGUUUGGUCUUAAAGACCGGGGCUCAACCCCGGGACUGGAUCGAAAACUGGCAGGCUCGAGGAUGUCAGAGGAAAGUGGAAUUCCGAGUGUAGCGGUGAAAUGCGUAGAUAUUCGGAGGAACACCAGUGGCGAAAGCGACUUUCUGGGGCAUUCCUGACGCUGAGGUUCGAAAGCUCGGGGAGCAAACAGG
rnacentral:rRNA from 1 species